ACUGAACGCUGGCGGCAGGCCUAACACAUGCAAGUCGAGCGGAUGAUUGGAGCUUGCUCCAUGAUUCAGCGGCGGACGGGUGAGUAGUGCCUAGGAAUCUGCCUGGUAGUGGGGGACAACGUUUCGAAAGGAACGCUAAUACCGCAUACGUCCUACGGGAGAAAGCAGGGGACCUUCGGGCCUUGCGCUAUCAGAUGAGCCUCCGUCGGAUUAGCUAGUAGGUGGGGUAGUGGCCCACCUAGGCGACGAUCCGUAACUGGCCUGAGAGGAUGGUCAGUCACACGGGAACUGAGACACGGUCCAGACUCCUACGGGAGGCAGCAGUGGGGAAUAUUGGACAAUGAGCGAAAGCCUGAUCCAGCCAUGUCGCGUGUGUGAAGAAGGUCUUCGGAUUGUAAAGCACUUUAAGUUGGGAGGAAGGGUAGUAAGUUAAUACCUUGCUGUUUUGACGUUACCAGCAGAAUAAGCACCGGCUAACUUCGUGCCAGCCGCCGCAGUAA
rnacentral:rRNA from 1 species